UACAGAGGGGGCAAGCGUUGUUCGGAAUUACUGGGCGUAAAGGGCGCGUAGGCGGCCUGCUAAGUCGAACGUGAAAUCCCCGAGCUCAACUCGGGAACUGCGUCCGAUACUGGCAGGCUUGAAUCCGGGAGAGGGAUGCGGAAUUCCAGGUGUAGCGGUGAAAUGCGUAGAUAUCUGGAGGAACACCGGUGGCGAAGGCGGCAUCCUGGACCGGUAUUGACGCUGAGGCGCGAAAGCUAGGGGAGCAAACGGG
rnacentral:rRNA from 1 species